AUGUCUCUGUGUGGACCUGUGUGUGUCUGUGUGCAUCUGUGUGUGUAUAUCUGUGUGUCUAUAUGUGUGUGUGUAUGUGUGACUGUGUGCAUCUGAGUGUGCACUGAGUGUGUGUGUGUCUGUGUGUGUCUGUGUGUGUGUGAUUAAGACUUUUUGAGCUUCUCCCACUGAUGAUCUCUUUUCUCACAAGAAUUUUUAUGUGACCCCGGGUAAAUAUGGACAUGAACCAGACAUAUAAAUGAAACAUUUACUGAAGACAAAUCACAAAGCAAUUUAUUUUAAAGCAACUUGUUGCCAUACAUAUGAUCUAACUUUUGUUGGCAAGGAAAGCAAAUUUGCAUAUUAAUGAGACAGAGUGGCCUGUUCGUCUCAUACAAUACAAUCUAAAGACGUGCUCACCUGAUGUGUACACGCUGGUGCAUACACGCUCAGGAAUAAUGGUUAGAAAACGUUAGAAGUCCUUGCUUUCCCUGUGUAAAGGGCAGGAAACUUGGUAUGUUAUGUGUAAACCCCAUAGUUCGCACCAGCGAUAGUCUCGAAUCUGAGCUGAGGUGACGCAGGCAGCAUUCGUGGUGUGUGGCAUGAAGGCAUGCAGAGCACAGACAGCUCGUGUCAAGCGUUCACGGCUGUAGUGACCUGACACCGUGCAACACACGCGAGCACUGCCAGGCUCGCCUCGGAUUCACGGUGUGUUUAGGUUUUGAAUUAAUUUUUGUCUGUUGCGCACUGUCAAGCCCUUCAUGGGUGCUAAGCUUCGUGACCUGCCAUGUGGUCACAUGAGCCUGAAGGUCUAGAAGUGUGAUUUCACAUCAGUGGUCGGCAAACCUGCACAGAGCCAGAUAGGAAACAUUUUGGCUUGUGGGCCAUGCGGUCUGUUGUAGCUACCGUCCUGCUGUAGCGAAAAGGCAGCCACAGAACAUGUGUAAACAAUGGCUGUGUCUCAAUAAAACUUUAUUUAAAGAAGAAGCAGCGGCCUGAAUCUGGCUCUGAGCCAGCAGUAGUUCCCAUCCUCUGUGUUAGCUGCAGCACGCUGUGCUGGAGAGUCAAAAGGGGCUCCCUCCCAGGUGCCCUACAAGUUUCAAAAGUUCUUCUCUUAUUUUAAUUCAACUUCUGUAAAAAUUUUGGAGGGUAAUGCUGACAUUCGAAGCUGCGCUCACACAGUCGGGGCUCAGCCAGGCUCCCAGGCAGUGCUGGGUGCAGACUGGACCCGUGUCUCUGAAGCUGGUGCCCAUAGGCCGCACAUAGCUCUCGCAGGACCUUCUGCUAAUGACAAUCUUCUGGUCCAGUGCUGGUGGGAAUGUGGGCUGUCCCGCCCGACCACAUUUCAGACAUUCCCCAGGGAGCGAAGCUCCUGCCACCGGGCAGCAACACAAACAUCAGCGCCUUUAACACAUUUCCUGCACACCCGACAGCAGCUUCACGUUGUGGGUGGGAAAGGAAGAGGCAGACAAUCGGAGGAAAACAGAGAGGCAUGAGGCUGGGAGGAACUCUACAGGAGAAUAGUCUAAUUAUAGAGUCCGCUCCUCAGGCCUGAGAAUCCAGUGAGACGGGAAGUUAGAGUGGCCAGACCGGUUGCAGGGAAGAGCCGCGCAUGCCCUACAGUGAGGUUCCCGUAUGUGACCCCGUUAGACCCCCGUGACGUCAAGGUCCCGUUCCUAGUGGAGCCAUAGGUUCUGAGAGUUAGCUCGAUUGCAGUAGGGCACCCAGCGUGGGGAAAUGACAGACCACCAUCCUGCAUCACAGUGCGGGGUCCCUGGGGUCCAUGCUGGGAUUCCAGGCCCGAGCUGCCACAGACAGCUUUUUAGCGGCACGCUGAGAACGUACCUGGCCCUCAUGCUUGUGCCGAGAAGCACCGACUCCUCCGCCCACCGGCUCCCAGUCGUUUUAAGUGAUAACUAUCCAGAGACCUGGGUGGAGAUGAGCUGAGACCAGGCAGCUGCUAUGGGCUGGGAGGAAGACUAAGGUGGUGGCGGCUUCGUCCUGGGGACACUUCACGUCAUUGAGCUCUCGAGGAAAUGCGGCAGACAUUUCCGCGUUUGUUCCUUGGCUCCUCGACAUGCUCGAGUGCAUUCUGUAUCACAGACAUGCACCAGCAUCAGGAGAUGCUGCGUGAGGGGGAAGGAUGCAAGAGGCAGAGGGGAAGGAAGCCAGGGAGGCCACAGUAGGCCUCCGUGUGCUUUGGUAUUGAAAGAAAACAGCUGGUGUCUGCUCUGCCUGCAUCCUCCAUCAGGCGGGCUCUGCUCGGGGAAAGACAUGGCUGCACUUGGGUCCUCACCCACCACCUGCAGGUUGACACAGAAGAGCUGCACCCACUCAGGCACAAGUGUCUGGGAUUCUCAGUUUGCCUGCCCUUCUGGCCCCAGGGCUGGGGGCGGAGGAAGCCUGCAUGUCUGUGUUGUCCAUCGCUGGUCUCCCUAGCUUGUCUCUGGCGCAGUUUCCCGUUCACCUCUGUCCAGGGUUGUCUAGCAGGCCUGACUCACCGAAACCACAGCCAAGUCACCGGGUGGUCUGAGUCACUGACCCUUGGAGCAUCUUACACAGUAAUAAAAGGCAAAGUACCUAAGUAAGUAAGGAGUUUCGCAAUAGAUUGGGUUAAGAAUCUUUCUUGGUGCAAGGUUGGUCUGGGAAUUCCCGGUGUGUGUCAGGUGACUUUCUUCGGCAGUUGUGAAACAAGCAAAUUGCUUCAUCUCCUGGCAACCACCUUCCCUGUCCCUCUUCCCCUUCCCCUCCCUCCUUUGUUUCUACGAACAGCUGCUGGUGCCAUGCGAGUCCCCAGGUCGCACAGGACGGCAUAAGCAGGUCAGAAGUGGUGUCCUUCUCUGUCACCCUCCAAUUUAUUCCCUUGAAGCAGUCUCUCACCGAGUCUAGAGAGAGCCCCAGUGAUCUUUUUUUCUCUGCAUCCACAACCGUGGCAUUAUGGCCCCAUCUAUAACGUUCUCUGGAAUAGAAGCCUUCUUUGGGGGUCAUUUGAGGCUACAAAGUGCCCCUCAAACACCGGUGUCUCUGCAGAGGCAGGGUGUGGACCGGCCAACAGGCCAGCAGCAGGAUGGAGCCUGGUUCUUUCCCUAAGGACCCAUUCCGUGGCUGAGGCUGCAAUGAAGAGAUAAUCCAUCUGCCAGAGAUUGCCACUCCAGGCACAGCAAGGACAGAGGGCUCAGAAGGGAUUGUUGGACAGGAAUUUGGGGCACCUGUGACAUACAUAGUCACUCACCUUUGAUUUUGGUUACAACUCUGGUAGCAAAGGAACACAGGGCUAAGAGGGUCAACAGCCAAGAAAAGACUGGAAUAAUGGACAAGGCCGUGCACGGCUCUAAAACCGCGUGGAUACUUUACCUUCGUGAACGUGCAUUACAAUAAGAAAGCAGUGGGGUUUAUACUUUGAAAUCAAAAGUUAACAGAUAAAAUGUUUAUGUCUUUAUUCUCAAGAUAACCUGCUCAAGAUAGUGUCAGAAUGAUUAAGGAAGAAAAAAAAAUAUGUAUUUGAGAAGAGAUCCUUUUCAUCCAAGUGGUAACUUCAAAAUUCUUAAAUUUGUAGGGGAAAAAUAUUCUAAGAAGAAAAGAAACUUGUGUAUUUGGCAAAAUGUGAUUAACUCCUACCCAGAUAUUUAAAGACAUUCCUAAUUUCAUCUUUAAAUUUUGGGACUGGAGAGACUGCUCAGCAGUUAAGAGCUCUUGCAGAAGACCGGGGUUCAGUUCCCAGAACCCACAUCAGAUGGCUCACAACUGCCUGUAACUUGGCUCCAGGGUAUCUGAUUCCCUCUUCUGGCCUCUGUGGGUACUGCACACACACACACACACACACACACACACACACACACACACACACACACCUUUUUAAAGAAAUGAUUAUUUCCAAGUAUCAGGCAAAUGUUAUUUAAUAAAUGGAGUCAAUUGGUUGUAUAGUUGAGAACAUGGGGUUUGUUCUCAGAGAGAACAGUGAUUUUUUUUAAGAGCUCCUCGUGUCCCUUUAGUUACAAACGAGCCCCAAGCCCUUGCUAGGACAUGAGUUUUGCUCUAUAGACAUUAAAACAGCUCAAAUAAAAAGUGGUAAAAAUACCAAAUGCUACCAAAGAUUUGGCUAUUUGGAAAAAUAGUGCUUAUCCUUUAUUUGUGGGGAUGUAAAUCAGCGCCAUCAUCAUCAAAAACCAAACACACACUUUGCCAUGUGGCUCAGAAAUUUCAUUUCCAGAGAAAUCAAAACCUCAGCAAUACAGAGUUCAUAUGAUCAUAGCAGAUGUAUCUGUAAAGGCUCUAAAUGAGAAGCAAACCAAGUGCCUCGCCACGGAGGAGUAAACAGGCAGCAGCCAUUCGUCAACUGCAAUCUCACCCAAUAAAAAGAAAUCAAAUACUAAUUCUCACAACAGCCCAUAUAGUGACUCACUCAAGAGCAUCGUGGUGGGUGAAGAAAGCCAGUCUCGGAGCUCUGUGUGCUGUUUGAUUUCAUGAACACACCAAUCUUUAGCGGACUAAAGACAGAGAAGGAAGCAGCUUUCAGAGCUGGAGGUGGGGCAGCAAAGGACUGUGACUCCAGAGACAGACUGCAGAGUGGACCCCGGGACCAGCACAUGACAGAAAGACAUGGAACUACACAUGCUGAACCAGAGUUGCUCUCCCGGUCUUACCCUUCCAGCCGGGCCCUGGUGGAGAUGGGGAACGGGUGUACAGUCCUAUAACUAUUUCAAAAUGAUUGGUUUGGUCAAGUCUGGUGGUGCAGGCUGCAAUCCCAGUGGCCGGAGAGACUGAGACAGGGAGAGUUUCAGGCUCACCUAAGCAAAUUGCUUGAGACCUUGUCUCAAGCUUUAAGACUACAAAAGGACCCCGUGCUUCCCCAGCAUGCAGGAGGCCCGAGUUUGUCCCUCUUGUGAUGGUUCGAGUGAUAAGUGUCCCCUCCCGCAGGCUCAGAUAUUUGAACUCUUGGCCCACAACUGGUGGAGCUGUCUGAGGAGCUGGUGUGCUCUUGCUGGAGGAAGUAUGUCACUAGGGUAGGCUUUGAGAGCCCACAGCCUCACCCACUUCCAGUGCAUGCUCUCUGCUUCCUGUUCCAGCCCCUACCACUGGGCCUUCAAUUGUUAUGGACUCUCAUCCCUCUGAAGCCAUACACCCAAAUAUACCCUCUCUUCCUUAAGUUACCUUUGGUCACAGCAAAAGCAAAGUGACCAAGAUACCUACCAGGCAAAAAGAAAGAAAGGAAGAAAAAGUGGGGAUAGGUUGGGCUGGGAUUUUGCUGUUGUUUGUUUUGCUUUGGGUUUUUUUUUUUUUUUUUUUUUGCUUUUGUUUUUGAUCAUCUAAACUUAUUAGGAGCAUAGAAGAAAGUGAGAACAGAAAAAUCACCUGAAAUCACCCCAAGAGCUCUGGCGUAGAAGCCUCCAUGCCCUGUAUCUGUCUGUCCUGUCUUCUCUCCUGGUUGAGGAACAGGAAGUGGCAGGCAGUGCUAUUUUCCUAUCUUGAGCAAGAACGAGGGCCACAGAUGAAAUGCUUGCUUUGUGCUGCCGGGUCUUCAAACAGGUUUGGAAUGUUUAGAUUCCCUGGAAGUCCAAAGUUCAGCAAACUGCUGCUUAGCAAUGGCACACCUCACAUACACACACACACACACAGAGAGAGAGAGAGAGAGAGAGAGAGAGAGAGAGAGAGAGAGAGAGAGAGAUACUGGACUCCUGGUCGGACAACGUGAUCAGCGUUUGAGGAAAUCCCCCAUCACAGAGAAAAACAAUUUCUUCAGAAUCAAAACUAAAAGGAGGGAUGGGGUGAUUUAGCUUCCCCAAGUGGGAACAGGCAUUGGGGCAUCUUUUAAUGUUUUAGUAUUCAAUAAAGCUCGAGAGUCAAAUUUUAGGGAAUAAACUUGAUUGCUCCAUGGAGCAGCAGAGCAAUGCUCACUUCACCCUCUUC